rnacentral:rRNA from 1 species
AUGACACAUGCCACCAGAUGGCCACACACGCAAGCAACCGACAGCUCCGACUUUGACGGCGAGCCUCACAAGGAAGAUAUGCAGGACUUGCGCCGAUCGUGCCCUCCGCAAACGACCACCGAGCGCCUGUCAUCGUUACCACCUGGAUCUGCUCCACCGCAGCUCCGACUUCAAAGCAACCAAGCAACCCACAGAAGAGCACCUUGGACACGCUGGGAAGAACCGACUAUCGAAGUCCAAGCCGCGACCCGAGCUCCUCUCGACGCCAUCAUCGUUGCCAACCAGAAACCAGCGCCCCGCCUCAGCAAACCACGCGGCGAAGAUGCCACCAUCCACGGCGAAGAUGCCGCAGUCCACCAGUCUCUCGAUCGUAGCCGGCUCCGAGACGAUGCCCCCAAGGAGGAGAAAGACUCGAAGACGCCUCCAUCGCCCGAUCCAGCGGAUAUGAGGUUUCCCUCCGGAGCCAAAGCCGUGGGGAGGAGCACCUCCACGGCGACGCUUCCAAGAAAGAUCACGACACCUGCGGGCGCCUCCGUCGCCGGCUCCGAUGAAGACCGGAGCAAGGAUUUCUCCCGGAGACCACCACCCCCACCGACCGCCGCCCACCAAUCACCACCCCUGCUGAGGCCGACCUCACCCUAG